rnacentral:rRNA from 1 species
CGACACAGGUGGUCAGGUAGAGAAUACCAAGGCGCUUGAGAGAACUCGGGUGAAGGAACUAGGCAAAAUGGUGCCGUAACUUCGGGAGAAGGCACGCUGAUAUGUAGGUGAAGUCCCUCGCGGAUGGAGCUGAAAUCAGUCGAAGAUACCAGCUGGCUGCAACUGUUUAUUAAAAACACAGCACUGUGCAAACACGAAAGUGGACGUAUACGGUGUGACGCCUGCCCGGUGCCGGAAGGUUAAUUGAUGGGGUCAGCGCAAGCGAAGCUCUUGAUCGAAGCCCCGGUAAACGGCGGCCGUAACUAUAACGGUCCUAAGGUAGCGAAAUUCCUUGUCGGGUAAGUUCCGACCUGCACGAAUGGCGUAAUGAUGGCCAGGCUGUCUCCACCCGAGACUCAGUGAAAUUGAACUCGCUGUGAAGAUGCAGUGUACCCGCGGCAAGACGGAAAGACCCCGUGAACCUUUACUAUAGCUUGACACUGAACAUUGAGCCUUGAUGUGUAGGAUAGGUGGGAGGCUUUGAAGUGUGGACGCCAGUCUGCAUGGAGCCGACCUUGAAAUACCACCCUUUAAUGUUUGAUGUUCUAACGUGGACCCGUGAUCCGGGUUGCGGACAGUGUCUGGUGGGUAGUUUGACUGGGGCGGUCUCCUCCUAAAGAGUAACGGAGGAGCACGAAGGUUGGCUAAUCCUGGUCGGACAUCAGGAGGUUAGUGCAAUGGCAUAAGCCAGCUUGACUGCGAGCGUGACGGCGCGAGCAGGUGCGAAAGCAGGUCAUAGUGAUCCGGUGGUUCUGAAUGGAAGGGCCAUCGCUCAACGGAUAAAAGGUACUCCGGGGAUAACAGGCUGAUACCGCCCAAGAGUUCAUAUCGACGGCGGUGUUUGGCACCUCGAUGUCGGCUCAUCACAUCCUGGGGCUGAAGUAGGUCCCAAGGGUAUGGCUGUUCGCCAUUUAAAGUGGUACGCGAGCUGGGUUUAGAACGUCGUGAGACAGUUCGGUCCCUAUCUGCCGUGGGCGCUGGAGAACUGAGGGGGGCUGCUCCUAGUACGAGAGGACCGGAGUGGACGCAUCACUGGUGUUCGGGUUGUCAUGCCAAUGGCACUGCCCGGUAGCUAAAUGCGGAAGAGAUAAGUGCUGAAAGCAUCUAAGCACGAAACUUGCCCCGAGAUGAGUUCUCCCUGACCCUUUAAGGGUCCUGAAGGAACGUUGAAGACGACGACGUUGAUAGGCCGGGUGUGUAAGCGCAGCGAUGCGUUGAGCUAACCGGUACUAAUGAACCGUGAGGCUUAACCUU